rnacentral:tRNA from 2 species
GCUGCUAUAGCUCAGCAGGCAGAGCACAUCCUUGGUAAGGAUGAGGUCGUGCGUUCGAAUCGCAUUAGCAGCUCCA